rnacentral:rRNA from 1 species
AACCUCCGCAAUGUGAGAAAUCGCGACGGGGGGAUCCCAAGUGCCAUUCUUAAUGGGGAUGGCUUUUCAUUAGUGUAAAGAGCUUUUGGAAUAAGGGCUGGGCAAGACCGGUGCCAGCCGCCGCGGUAACACCGGCAGCUCUAGUGGUAGCAGUUUUUAUUGGGCCUAAAGCGUCCGUAGCCGGUUUAAUAAGUCUCUGGUGAAAUCCUGUAGCUUAACUGUGGGAAUUGCUGGAGAUACUAUUAGACUUGAGACCGGGAGAGGUUAGAGGUACUCCCAGGGUAGAGGUGAAAUUCUGUAAUCCUGGGAGGACCGCCUGUUGCGAAGGCGUCUAACUGGAACGGUUCUGACGGUGAGGGACGAAAGUUAGGGGCGCGAACCGGAUUAGAUACCCGGGUAGUCCUAACCGUAAACGAUGCGGACUUGGUGUUGGGGUGGCUUUGAGCUGCUCCAGUGCCGAAGGGAAGCUGUUAAGUCCGCCGCCUGGGAAGUACGGUCGCAAGACUGAAACUUAAAGGAAUU